rnacentral:rRNA from 1 species
GACGAACGCUGGCGGCGUGCUUAACACAUGCAAGUCGAACGGAAAGGCCCUGCUUUUGUGGGGUGCUCGAGUGGCGCACGGGUGAGUAACACGUGAGUAACCUGCCCUUGACUUUGGGAUAACAUCUGGAAACUGGGGCUAAUACCGGAUAGGAGCUCCUGCUGCAUGGUGGGGGUUGGAAAGUUUCGGCGGUUGGGGAUGGACUCGCGGCUUCUCAGCUUGUUGGUGGGGUAGUGGCUUACCAAGGCUUUGACGGGUAGCCGGCCUGAGCGGGUAACCGGCCACAUUGGGACCGAGACGGCGCAGACUCCUACGGGAGGCAGCAGUGGAGAAUAUUGCACAGUGGGCGGAAGCCAGAUGCGGCAGCGCCGCGUGCGGAAUGCCGGGUUACGGGUUGUGAACCGCUUUCGCCGGAGACGAAGAGUGAGUGACGGUAAUGGGUAAGGAAGCACCGGCUAACUACGUG